rnacentral:tRNA from 1 species
GGGGCUAUAGCUCAGCUGGGAGAGCGCCUGCCUUGCACGCAGGAGGUCAGCGGUUCGGUCCCGCUUAGCUCCA